rnacentral:lncRNA from 1 species
UGAAGACAUGGACAUAUGAGGACAUGGACAUAUGAAGACAUGGACAUAUGAAGACAUGGACAUAUAUGAGGACAUGGACAUAUGAGGAUAUGGACAUAUGAGGACAUGACAUAUGAGGACAUGGACAUAUGAGGACAUGGACAUAUGAAGACAUGGACAUAUGAGGACAUUGACAUAUGAAGACAUGGACAUAUGAAGACAUGGACAUAUGAGGACAUGGACAUAUGAAGAAACGGAGUUAUGAGGACAUGGACAUAUGAGGACAUGGACAUAUGAGGACAUUGACAUAUGAGGACAUGGACAUAUGAAGACAUGGACAUAUGAGGACAUGGACAUAUGAAGAAACGGACAUAUGAGGACAUGGACAUAUGAGGACAUGGACAUAUGAAGACAUGGACAUAUGAGGACAUGGACAUAUGAAGACAUGGACAUAUGAGGACAUGGACAUAUGAGGACAUUGACAUAUGAAGACAUGGACAUAUGAAGACAUGGACAUAUGAGGACAUGGACAUAUGAGGAAAUGGACAAUGCCAACGACAUAAAAUUGGGAAACAAUUUUACGUCAAAACCAGUUUCCCCUUGUGGAAAGCAGCCAGCCAGCCAGCCCGCCCACCAGCCAGCCAGCCAGCCAUCCAGCCAGCCCGCCAGCCAGCCAUCC